UACAGAGGGGGCAAGCGUUGUUCGGAAUUACUGGGCGUAAAGGGCGCGUAGGCGGCCUUCUAAGUCGAACGUGAAAUCCCUGGGCUCAACCCAGGAACUGCGUCCGAUACUGGAAGGCUUGAAUCCGGGAGAGGGAUGCGGAAUUCCAGGUGUAGCGGUGAAAUGCGUAGAUAUCGAGAGGAACACCGGUGGCGAAGGCGGCCAACUGGACGAGUACUGACGCUGAGACACGAAAGCGUGGGGAGCAAACAGG
rnacentral:rRNA from 1 species